AACGAACGCUGGCGGCAUGCCUAACACAUGCAAGUCGAACGAGACCUUCGGGUCUAGUGGCGCACGGGUGCGUAACGCGUGGGAACCUGCCCUUAGGUUCGGAAUAACUCCCCGAAAGGGGUGCUAAUACCGGAUAAUGUCUUCGGACCAAAGAUUUAUCGCCUUUGGAUGGGCCCGCGUUGGAUUAGCUAGUUGGUAGGGUAAAAGCCUACCAAGGCGACGAUCCAUAGCUGGUCUGAGAGGAUGAUCAGCCACACUGGGACUGAGACACGGCCCAGACUCCUACGGGAGGCAGCAGUGGGGAAUAUUGGGCAAUGGGCGAAAGCCUGAUCCAGCCAUGCCGCGUGAGUGAUGAAGGCCUUAGGGUUGUAAAGCUCUUUUACCCGGGAUGAUAAUGACAGUACCGGGAGAAUAAGCUCCGGCUAACUCCGUG
rnacentral:rRNA from 1 species